UAUUUACAUAUUUUUUUAGUUAAUUUACAAUGGUAAUGGUUCGAGGAAUGUCGGUGCGAAUGGUCGGCCCCUAUACAUUUUCAUCUAAUCAAAUUUGGCCCGCUUUGCAAAAAGUUUGGACACC